rnacentral:rRNA from 1 species
GAUGAACGCUGGCGGCGUGCCUAACACAUGCAAGUCGAGCGAUUCUCUUCGGAGAAGAGCGGCGGACGGGUGAGUAACGCGUGGGUAACCUGCCCUGUACACACGGAUAACAUACCGAAAGGUAUGCUAAUACGAGAUAAUAUACUUUUAUCGCAUGGUAGAAGUAUCAAAGCUUUUGCGGUACAGGAUGGACCCGCGUCUGAUUAGCUAGUUGGUAAGGUAACGGCUUACCAAGGCGACGAUCAGUAGCCGACCUGAGAGGGUGAUCGGCCACAUUGGAACUGAGACACGGUCCAAACUCCUACGGGAGGCAGCAGUGGGGAAUAUUGCACAAUGGGCGAAAGCCUGAUGCAGCAACGCCGCGUGAGCGAUGAAGGCCUUCGGGUCGUAAAGCUCUGUCCUCGAGGAAGAUAAUGACGGUACUUGAGGAGGAAGCCCCGGCUAACUACGUGCCAGCCGCCGCGGUAACAC